rnacentral:rRNA from 1 species
CCGCCGCGCCCCGCGCCCGUCCCGCCGCCCCCGCCCACGGGNNNCAGCAGGCGCGAAACCUUCACAAUGUGCGAAAGCACGAUGAGGGGAUCCCAAGUGCUUGCUCGUAAGAGUAAGCUGUUUUUAUGUCUAAAAAGCAUAGAGAGUAAGGGCUGGGUAAGACGGGUGCCAGCCGCCGCGGUAAUACCUGCAGCUCAAGUGGUGACCACUAUUAUUGGGCCUAAAACGUUCGUAGCCGGUUUGGUAAAUGCCUGGGUAAAUCGUGUAGCUUAACUAUACGAAUUCCGGGUAGACUGCCAAACUUGAGACCGGGAGAAGNNAGAGGUACUCCUGGGGUAGAGGUGAAAUUCUGUAAUCCUGGGGGGACCACCAGUGGCGAAGGCGUCNNNNUAGAACGGGUCUGACGGUGAGGGACGAAACNCUGGGGCGNNNACCGGAUUAGAUACCCGGGUAGUCCAGGGUGUAAACGNNGC